GAGAGUAUAGCUCAGUAGUAGAAUGCAUGCUUAGUAUGCUUGAGGUCCUGGGUUCAAUCCCCAGUACCUCCA
rfam:Camelus ferus unplaced genomic scaffold scaffold843, whole genome shotgun sequence.